UUUGUCCCUUAUCUCUUGUUCGAGCCAGCGGGAUCAUGGAGACAGAGAAUCAGAGAAAACAGCCACACAUAAACCCUGUGCUCCCUGCUGGAGAAGAUCCAACACAUAUCUGAAGCAAAGAUGAAGAGCUACAGAAGAGAUUGUCACAGCAAUCAAUGUUUGAAGAGACCCAUCUAUUAUUUUCACUCUUCAUCAGCCCCCU